UACAGCCUGGCAGAAUUUGCCACUCUUAUCACUCAGCCAACGGAGAUAUCUCAUGAUGUGAUAUGAAGAAAGACUGGACGAACCAACUUCAUUUGCUCAGCCAAAGUGGGAAUAGCACAAAACUAGGAUGGAAGGGUAUCUGCUUUUAUAGUUAUCUAUCUCGAUUUCUAUUGGCUCCCUCCUUCAUGUUCCAGUCAUCAUUGGAAUGGUACUUGGUCCAGCUGAUUCCCAUCAAUGCUCUCCCUUCCCCUCAGCCAGUGGAUCAACAGUUAGGCCCCCCACGGUGGAGACUUAUCACUGCAAAAAGGUUAUGCAGAUUCAUGGUUCGCUGACCCUAAGCAGGAAUAAUUCAGCCGAAACAAUUGACUGCCCCCGAUCUCUCGCUAGAUAGCUUGAGAAUCCAACGGACAGAUCUUGCAACCUGAGACCAUGAUUUAAAGACAACCCACAUUGGCAAAGAGCUCCCAGAUGAAAGGAGGGGCAGCAGAGAAUAUAUUAUUUAAGUCCUUAAAAGCUAUUGAUAGAGGGAAAAUGCAAAAAUGGUAUCAGCCGAGGUCACUUUAUUGUGGAAAUGACAUGGAUGAUAAGGAUUCCAAAACAUCGGUAGACUGAUAUAUCACAUUUUAGCAAUAUGUGUUUAA